rnacentral:rRNA from 1 species
CGCGUAGGCGGUUUGUUAAGUCGGAUGUGAAAUGUAAGGGCUCAACCCUUAACGUGCAUCUGAUACUGGCAGACUUGAGUGCGGAAGAGGCAAGUGGAAUUCCUAGUGUAGCGGUGAAAUGCGUAGAUAUUAGGAGGAACACCAGUGGCGAAGGCGACUUGCUGGCCGUAACUGACGCUGAGGCGCGAAAGCGUGGGAGCGAACA